rnacentral:rRNA from 1 species
UGGGGAGUAUUGGACAAUGGGCGAAAGCCUGAUCCAGCCAUGCCGCAUGAGUGAAGAAGGCCUUUGGGUUGUAAAGCUCUUUUAGUGAGGAAGAUAAUGACGGUACUCACAGAAGAAGUCCUGGCUAACUCCGUGCCAGCAGCCGCGGUAAUACGGAGAGGGCUAGCGUUAUUCGGAAUUAUUGGGCGUAAAGGGCGCGUAGGCUGGUUAGUAAGUUAAAAGUGAAAUCCCGAGGCUUAACCUUGGAACUGCUUUUAAAACUGCUAACCUAGAGAUUGAAAGAGGAUAGAGGAAUUCCUAGUGUAGAGGUGAAAUUCGUAAAUAUUAGGAGGAACACCAAUGGCGAAGGCGUCUAUCUGGUUCAAAUCUGACGCUGAGGCGCGAAGGCGUGGGGAGCAAACA